CUCUGGCAAGAUUUAGGCUUGUGGCUGGGCCCCGCCCACCCUCCAUAGGAGGCUAUAUCAGCUGUAGAAGCUUUAGUUCCUGUUUUCCGCCGCCUUAGUUGCAGCAACUUUGGAAACUCUCUUACAAUUUACUUACUUUACAAUCUUGGACUGUUUUUUGGAUUUCCUGAUUUCUCUAUUCCUGACUUGGACUGUUAAAAUGAGUAUUCUACUGUCUGGCUCCCUGGACCUGAAUGCAGUACUGGGCCAGAAGGCUGGAGCAAGAGAUCGAUGGCGUGAUGAGGAUAUUUGGUGGUGUUCAGGCACUCAAACGGCAUGGAAUUCGUCUUUUUGCAGAAGCCAUGAACUGUGGGUCAUCUCUUCCCUGCAAGAAGCCUGAAGGGAAUGGCAGAUGACAUCAUUGUCCCUGUUUAUCAAAAAGCGAGAUUUGAAGCUGGUGCUUCUGCCUUUUUCUGCUACACUGAUAUCUAGUGUAGGGAUGUAAUUCCCCAACUAUUUCAUCCUUGAAUGUAAUGACAAAUAAUUAGGACAGUUUUCUAUUCACUGUGAGACUUGAAAACCAAUUUCUUUGUACUUUGCUCCCUG
rnacentral:lncRNA from 11 species